rnacentral:piRNA from 1 species
UAUUUUUUUCUCUAAUUGCCUUUAUGACAUC